rnacentral:rRNA from 1 species
GUGUCAGCAGCCGCGGUAAUACGAGAGGCCCAAACGUUAUUCGGAUUUACUGGGCUUAAAGAGUUCGUAGGCGGUUCGGUAAGUGAGGUGUGAAAGCCCUCGGCUCAACCGAGGAAUUGCGCUUCAAACUGCCGGGCUCGAGGGAGAUAGAGGUGAGCGGAACUGAUGGUGGAGCGGUGAAAUGCGUUGAUAUCAUCAGGAACACCAGAGGCGAAGGCGGCUCACUGGGUCUCUUCUGACGCUGAGGAACGAAAGCUAGGGGAGCAAACGGGAUUAGAAACCCCCGUAGUCC